rnacentral:rRNA from 1 species
AGCAGUCGCCGCGGUAAUACGGAGGGUCCGAGCGUUAAUCGGAAUUACUGGGCGUAAAGCGUGCGCAGGCGGUUUGUUAAGCGAGAUGUGAAAGCCCUGGGCUCAACCUAGGAAUAGCAUUUCGAACUGGCGAACUAGAGUCUUGUAGAGGGGGGUAGAAUUCCAGGUGUAGCGGUGAAAUGCGUAGAGAUCUGGAGGAAUACCGGUGGCGAAGGCGGCCCCCUGGACAAAGACUGACGCUCAUGCACGAAAGCGUGGGGAGCAAACAGGAUUAGAUACCCGAGUAGUCCCUGUCUCUUAUAC